rnacentral:sRNA from 1 species
GGAAGGAUCAUUAUUGAAUAAACCUGAUGGGUUGUUGCUGGUUCUCUAGGGAGCAUGUGCACGCCUUGUCAUCUUUAUAUCUCCACCUGUGCACCUUUUGUAGGCCUUCCAGGUCUAUGUUUGCCUCAUUUAACCCCAUGUUAAUAGAAUGUUGUUGUGCCUAUAUAAUAUACAACUUUCAGCAACGGAUCUCUUGGCUCUCGCAUCGAUGAAGAACGCAGCGAAAUGCGAUAAGUAAUGUGAAUUGCAGAAUUCAGUGAAUCAUCGAAUCUUUGAACGCACCUUGCGCUCCUUGGUAUUCCGAGGAGCAUGCCUGUUUGAGUGUCAUUAAAUACAUAUAUCAACCUUCUCAUUGUGGAAUGGUUUGGAUGUGGGGGUUUUCUUGCUGGAACCUUUCAAAGAGUCCAGCUCCCCUUAAAUGCAUUAGCAGAACAAACCUGUUCAUUGGCGUGAUAACUAUCUAUGCUAAUUGAAUAUGAAGGGCAGUUCAGCUUUCUAGCAGUCCUUUGGACAACUCAUCAUUAAUGUGGCCUCAAAUCAGGUAGGACUACCCGCUGAACUUAAGCAUAUCAAUAAGCGGAGGAAGAA